UUGGCUUUCUCUGAACUCUCUCCCUCAAUGACCCUUUCACUUUAGCUUAGUCUUAUGCAUUAUUUAUGCAGAGAAUUAAGGAUGAAGGAGGAGCCGUUGAGGUGGGGUGGUUCAGAAAUUGCCGG
rnacentral:pre_miRNA from 1 species